rnacentral:rRNA from 1 species
GACGUAGGGCGCGAGCGUUGUCCGGAUUUAUUGGGCGUAAAGGGCGCGUAGGCGGCUAGAUGUGUCAAAGGUGAAAUCCCUCGGCUCAACUGAGGAACUGCCUUUGAAACUGUCUGGCUUGAGGCCGGGAGAGGGUAGCGGAAUUCCCAGUGUAGCGGUGAAAUGCGUAGAUAUUGGGAGGAACACCAGUGGCGAAGGCGGCUACCUGGACCGGUUCUGACGCUGAGGCGCGAAAGCGUGGGUAGCAAACAGG